UAAGGAAUCUUCGGCAAUGGACGCAAGUCUGAAGGAGCAACGCCGCGUGAGUGAAGAAGGAUUUCGGGUCGUAAAACUCUGUUGUUAGAGAAGAACAGAGCAUAGCGAAACUGUUAUUCGCGUGACGGUAUCUAACCAGAAAGGCACGGCUAACUCCGUGACAGCAGGCGCGGUAAUACGUAGGUGGCAAGCGUUGUCCGGAUUUAUUGGGUGUAAAGGGAGCGCAGGCGGUGAAUUAAGUCUGACGUGAAAGACCCCGGCUCAACCGUAGAGGGUCGAUGGAUACUUGUGUACUUGAGUGUAGAAAAGGCGAGUGGAAUUCGUUGUGUAGCGGUGAAAUGCGUAGAUAUUAGGCGGAACACCAGUGGCGAAAGCGGCUCUCUGGUCUGUAACUGACGCUGAUGCUCGAAAGCGUGGGGAGCGAACAGG
rnacentral:rRNA from 1 species